UACGUAGGGGGCGAGCGUUAUCCGGAAUUAUUGGGCGUAAAGGGUGUGCAGGCGGUUUGCUAAGUUCGUGGCGACAGCCAUCGGCUUAACCGAUGGAGGACUGCGAAAACUGGCAGACUUGAGAGCGAGAGAGGGAUAUGGAAUUCCCGGUGUAGCGGUGAAAUGCGCAGAUAUCGGGAGGAACACCGGUGGCGAAGGCGGUUCUCUGGGCCUUACCUGACGCUGAGGAGCGAAAGCGUGGGGAGCGAACAGG
rnacentral:rRNA from 1 species